CUAUUAAUUAUUAUUUUUUAUAUUGUAUUGUGUAUAUAUAUAUAUUUUAUAUUGGGUAAAGUUUAGAGACAGCUCUCCAGCUUGGGACGCCCGGUUCUCCUUACAGCCGAUGGGCUGUCUGGUCUUCCGUGCGUUCCACGGUGGAACGCGGAAGUACAGCUGAGGAUAUUGUAUUAUGUGUUAUGGAUGUUUUGCGUUCCAGUAUGGAACGCGGAAGUGAGAUCUUGUUCUACAUCCGUCUGAGAGGGUUAUUUUGUUCAACCAAUCAGAAUGAGGCAAGACCGAAACCCGGAAGUAAAGGUUUUUCCGCGGCAUUUUCAAGAUCGUUUUGGAGGCUUAUAAAAGAAGGACUUUCUGGACAUUUUCUUAUCCCUGAAGAAGUCUACAUAGACGAAACGCGUUGGAUAUUGAUCAGGAAUACUUUUUUCUUUUCUGUUAUUUUAUUGUUUUUAGUAUACAAUUACUUUUUAUAUUUUUAUACUAUCACAGAGGGACUUCCUUUCCUCGGUACCACUUGUGAGUGGUGAUAUGCUGCUAUAAUCUUCACUUGAUGUAAGUGCAAUUUGUAUUAAUAAAUCUAUUUUUGUUUGCAA